CCUACGGGUGGCAGCAGUGGGGAAUAUUGGACAAUGGGGGCAACCCUGAUCCAGCCAUGCCGCGUGUGUGAAGAAGGCCCUCGGGUUGUAAAGCACUUUCAGUGAGGAAGAACGCCUGGUGGUUAAUACCCAUCAGGAAAGACAUCACUCACAGAAGAAGCACCGGCUAACUCCGUGCCAGCAGCCGCGGUAAUACGGAGGGUGCGAGCGUUAAUCGGAAUUACUGGGCGUAAAGCGCGCGUAGGUGGCUUGAUAAGCCGGUUGUGAAAGCCCCGGGCUCAACCUGGGAACGGCAUCCGGAACUGUCAAGCUAGAGUGCAGGAGAGGAAGGUAGAAUUCCCGGUGUAGCGGUGAAAUGCGUAGAGAUCGGGAGGAAUACCAGUGGCGAAGGCGGCCUUCUGGACUGACACUGACACUGGGGUGCGAAAGCGUGGGUAGCAAACAGGAUUAGAUACCCUGGUAGUC
rnacentral:rRNA from 1 species